GCCCUGAAUACGCCUCCUCCUCCUCCGCCCGCCGCGGCACACGCUACUAACACGCCACCUAGCAGUCUGAACACACACGGCCUCAACGUUCCCGGGCUGCAUGCACAGGCGGAGGGAGUCAAGCUCCUAGCCACGGUGAUGUCCCAGUCAAUAAAGGCAAAGGAACAUCUGUUGGAGCAGUCCAGGUCUGUGGAGCAGGCGGUAGCAGAAGCUGCAGCUAAGAGUCCAUCUGGUUGUCCUCCUCAUGAGCAGCGCUCCUUUGAUCGUAAG